rnacentral:rRNA from 1 species
UUAUAUAGUCUAUCCUGCCCACUGGUAAUCUUAACGGCUGCGGUAUUUUGACCGUACAAAGGUAGCAUAAUGAUUAGGUUUUUAAAUGAAAUCUGGAAUGAAUGGAUUGACAAAAAAGAAGCUGUCUCAGUUAUAAAUAUAUAAUUUAACUUUAAGAGUGAAAAGGCCUUAAUAUUUCAAAGGGAAGAUAAGACCCUAUAAAGCUUAAUAAUUCAUAUUUUUAAAUAUAAAUUUGAUUAUAAUUUUAUAUAAAAAUAUAAUUAUUUUACUGGGGCGGUAUAUUAUAACUAUAAUUAACUAAUAUAAUUUAUAAAUCAUUGAUAAAUGAAAAAAGAUCCUUUAAAGAUUAAAAAAUUAAGUUACUUUAGGGAUAACAGCGUUAUUUUUUUGGAGAGUUCUUAUUAAAAAAAAAGAUUGCGACCNCGAUGUUGAAUUAAAUAGAUUCUUUAUGGUGCAGAAGCUUAUAAAAGAAGGUCUG